rnacentral:rRNA from 1 species
AUUGAACGCUGGCGGCAUGCCUUACACAUGCAAGUCGAACGGCAGCACGGGAGCAAUCCUGGUGGCGAGUAGCGAACGGGUGAGUAAUAUAUCGGAACGUGCCCAGUCGUGGGGAUAACGUAGCGAAAGCUACGCUAAUACCGCAUAUGAUCUAUGGAUGAAAGCGGGGGAUCGCAAGACCUCGCGCGAUUGGAGCGGCCGAUAUCAGAUUAGGUAGUUGGUGAGGUAAAGGCUCACCAAGCCGACGAUCUGUAGCUGGUCUGAGAGGACGACCAGCCACACUGGGACUGAGACACGGCCCAGACUCCUACGGGAGGCAGCAGUGGGGAA